rnacentral:rRNA from 1 species
AACGAACGCUGGCGGCAUGCCUAACACAUGCAAGUCGAACGCCCGUAGCAAUACGGGAGUGGCAGACGGGUGCAUAACACGUGGGAACCUACCCUUGGGUUCGGAAUAACCGCGGGAAACUGCGGCUAAUACCGGAUACGUCCUCUGGGAGAAAGAUUCAUCGCCCUUGGAGGGGCCCGCGUCGGAUUAGCUAGUUGGUGAGGUAACGGCUCACCAAGGCGACGAUCCGUAGCUGAUCUGAGAGGAUGAUCAGCCACACUGGAACUGAGACACGGUCCAGACUCCUACGGGAGGCAGCAGUGGGGAAUAUUGGACAAUGGGGGCAACCCUGAUCCAGCAAUGCCGCGUGGGUGAUGAAGGCCUUCGGGUUGUAAAGCCCUUUUGGCAGGGACGAUGAUGACGGUACCUGCAGAAUAAGCCCCGGCUAACUUCGUGCCAGCCGCCGCGGUAA